CGCUAUUACAUUCACAUUCCAAGAUACGGUAACGACACGAGCGCUAUAACAUUCACAUUCCAAGAUACGGUAACGACACGAGCGCUAUUACAUUCACAUUCCAAGAUACGGUAACGGCACGAGCGCUAUUACAAUCACAUUUCAAGAUACAGUAACGACACGGGCGCUAUUACAAUCACAUUCUAAGAAACGGUAACAGCACGAGCGGUAUUACAAUAACAUUCCAAGAUACGGUAACUGCACGAACGCUAUUACAAUCACAUUCUAAGAUACGGUAACGGCAUGAGGGCUAUUACAAUCACCUUCCAAGAUACGGUAACG